UACGUAGGGUGCGAGCGUUAAUCGGAAUUACUGGGCGUAAAGCGUGCGCAGGCGGUUUGCUAAGACCGAUGUGAAAACCCGGGGCUCAACUCCGGGCCUGCAUUCGAUACGGGCAGACUAGAGUUCGGUAGGGGAGACUGGAAUUCCUGGUGUAGCGGUGAAAUGCGCAGAUAUCAGGAGGAACACCGGUGGCGAAGGCGGGUCUCUGGGCCGAUACUGACGCUGAGGAGCGAAAGCGUGGGGAGCGAACAGG
rnacentral:rRNA from 1 species